rnacentral:rRNA from 1 species
CCUACGGGAGGCAGCAGUGAGGAAUAUUGGUCAAUGGCCGGAAGGCUGAACCAGCCAUGCCGCGUGAAGGUCAGUGCCCUAUGGGCGUUAAACUUCUUUUGUGCGGGAGCAAUAAUGGUCACGUGUGGCCAGACGAGAGUACCGUACGAAUAAGCAUCGGCUAACUCCGUGCCAGCAGCCGCGGUAAUGCGGGGGAUGCAAGCGUUAUCCGGAUUUAUUGGGUUUAAAGGGUGCGUAGGCUGUGAGGUAAGUCAGCGGUGAAAUGCCCCCGCUCAACGGGGUGAAGUGCCAUUGAUACUGCCUGGCUGGAAUGCGGAUGCCGUGGGAGGAAUGUGUGGUGUAGCGGUGAAAUGCAUAGAUAUCACACAGAACACCGAUUGCGAAGGCAUCUCACGAAUCCGCGAUUGACGCUGAUGCACGAAAGCGUGGGUAUCAAACAGGAUUAGAUACCCCAGUAGUC